UACGUAGGGUGCAAGCGUUGUCCGGAAUUAUUGGGCGUAAAGAGCUCGUAGGCGGUUUGUCGCGUCUGCUGUGAAAACCCGAGGCUCAACCUCGGGCCUGCAGUGGGUACGGGCAGACUAGAGUGCGGUAGGGGAGAUUGGAAUUCCUGGUGCAGCGGUGGAAUGCGCAGAUAUCAGAAGGAACACCAAUGGCGAAGGCAGAUCUCUGGGCCGUAACUGACGCUGAGGAGCGAAAGCAUGGGGAGCGAACAGG
rnacentral:rRNA from 1 species